rnacentral:lncRNA from 8 species
AUGAGGUUCAAAUGUGAAGAUGUGCAAAGUGAGUUGGUGGACAAAAUGCGAAACUCCCCUCAGUGGAAAGAUGACACUGCAUGCAUAAAGAGAGAGACAGGGAGAGUGACAGGGAGAGCGACAGACAGAGACAGGGAGCGGAGACAGAUGGAGACAGGGAGCGCGACAGACGGAGACAGGGAGCGGAGACAGACGGAGACAGGGAGCGGAGACAGACGGAGACAGGGAGCGGAGACAGACGGAGACAGGGAGCGCAACAGACGGAGACAGGGAGCGCGACAGACGGAGACAGGGAGCGCGACAGACGGAGACAGGGAGCGGAGACAGACGGAGACAGGGAGCGGAGACAGACGGAGACAGGGAGCGCGACAGACGGAGACAGGGAGCGCGACAGACGGAGACAGGGAGCGCGACAGACGGAGACAGGGAGCGGAGACAGACGGAGACAGGGAGCGGAGACAGACGGAGACAGGGAGCGGAGACAGACGGAGACAGGGAGCGGAGACAGACGGAGACAGGGAGCGGAGACAGACGGAGACAGGGAGCGCGACAGACGGAGACAGGGAGCGCGACAGACGGAGACAGGGAGCGGAGACAGACGGAGACAGGGAGCGGAGACAGACGGAGACAGGGAGCGGAGACAGACGGAGACAGGGAGCGGAGACAGACGGAGACAGGGAGCGGAGACAGACGGAGACAGGGAGCGGAGACAGACGGAGACAGGGAGCGGAGACAGACGGAGACAGGGAGCGGAGACAGACGGAGACAGGGAGCGGAGACAGGGAGCGCGACAGACGGAGACAGGGAGCGCGACAGACGGAGACAGGGAGCGGAGACAGACGGAGACAGGGAGCGAGACAGGGAGCGGAGACAGACGGAGACAGGGAGCGCGACAGACGGAGACAGGGAGCGCGACAGACGGAGACAGGGAGCGGAGACAGACGGAGACAGGGAGCGGAGACAGGGAGCGCGACAGACGGAGACAGGGAGCGCGACAGACGGAGACAGGGAGCGGAGACAGACGGAGACAGGGAGCACGACAGACGGAGACAGGGAGCGGAGACAGACGGAGACAGGGAGCGGAGACAGACGGAGACAGGGAGCGCGACAGACGGAGACAGGGAGGGGAGACAGACGGAGACAGGGAGCACGACAGACGGAGACAGGGAGCGGAGACAGACGGAGACAGGGAGCGCGACAGGGAGAGCGACACCCAGUAACUGUUCUUCCUCAUUUGACUUCCAACAGCAAACAAACAAUGAAACGGAAUGCUUCCUGCCCAUUAACCCUCCGCCGCUACUUCUGAACCUGGCCUGUGAAAGUGGCUUUACUGGGGGACACUGA